rnacentral:lncRNA from 1 species
GCCAUUGGGUGACCCCAGGUGCCAUUGGGUGACACUGGGUGACAUUGGGUGCCAUUGGGUGACCCCAGGGUGACACUGGGUGACCCCAGGUGUCAUUGGGUGACACUGGGUGACCCCGGGUGCCAUCAGGUGCCAUUGGGUGACACUGGGUGUCAUUAGGUGCCAUUGGGUGACACUAGGUGAUCCCAGGUGCCAUUAGGUGACAGCGGGUGACAUUGGGUGACCCCAGGUGCCACUGGGUGCCAUUGGGUGCCAUUGGGUGCCAUUGGGUGACACUGGGUGACCCCAGGUGCCACUGGGUGACACUGGGUGCCAUUAGGUGCCAUUGGGUGACACUAGGUGACCCCAUGCGCCAUUGGGUGCCAUUGGGUGACCCCAGGUGCCAUUGGGUGACACUG